rnacentral:rRNA from 1 species
UACGUAGGGGGCUAGCGUUGUCCGGAUUUAUUGGGCGUAAAGAGCGUGUAGGCGGCCAGGUAGGUCUGGUGUGAAAACUCGAGGCUUAACCUCGAGAUGUCAUCGGAAACCAUUUGGCUAGAGUCCGGAAGAGGAGAGUGGAAUUCCUGGUGUAGCAGUGAAAUGCGCAGAUAUCAGGAAGAACACCAAUGGCGAAAGCAGCUCUCUGGGACGGUACUGACGCUGAGACGCGAAAGCGUGGGGAGCGAACAGG